UCCUACGGGGGGCAGCAGUGAGGAAUAUUGGUCAAUGGUCGGGAGACUGAACCAGCCUAGCCGCGUGAGGGAUGAGGGUACAGAGUAUCGUAAACCUCUUUUGUCAGGGAACAAAGGCGGGGACGUGUCCCCGGAUGAGUGUACCUGAAGAAAAAGCAUCGGCUAACUCCGUGCCAGCAGCCGCGGUAAUACGGAGGAUGCGAGCGUUAUCCGGAUUUAUUGGGUUUAAAGGGUGCGCAGGCGGUCUGUUAAGUCAGCGGUCAAAGCCCGGGGCUCAACCCCGGCCCGCCGUUGAAACUGGCAGU
rnacentral:rRNA from 1 species